AAAAGAACUUUGGAGAGAGAGUCAAAAAGACCGCGAAACCGUUAGGAGGGAAACGAAUGCAGCCAAAGUGGCUCUCAUUCAGGCUCAGGAGUUGUCGGUGCGCAGUGCCAGGCUGUUGGACACCGAAGGGUGCGGCAGUCAGGAUACAGCAUGCCGAGCACUCUGCAUUCCUGAUGAGAGUCGGCCAACAGCAGUUACCCCUGACUCGAAAGGGCUGUCGGGAAGGUAGCUUCUUGGUUUACCAGGAAGAACUUAUAGCCAUCGGCCUGGCAGUUGGGGGUGACUGAGGAGUGCUGUGACUUUUCACACCAGCAGUGCAGGCUCCCUAGGGGCCGGGUCGCUUCUGUCCGUGUGGGCAAUGCUUCCGGGACUGCAUGCAGUGUCGGAAGACAUGUGUGUGCUCGGGUGGGAGGUUGGCCACGCCUUGCACUGAAGUUGUUGGUACCUGGAUGGUUUCAUUCGACCCGUCUUG
rnacentral:sRNA from 4 species